GUGUGUGUGAUGUGAACCAAGAUUGUUACCAUGAUAUGGAUGUAACGACCCAAAUCUAUUUGGGCUUAAUUUGGGCCUAAUUCUCAUCAAAAGCAUACACGCUCCUCUUCUCCUCUUUACUACGUGCGUGUGUGUCACUGAAGAACCCUAGCAAAGACAAGACAAGAGAGAGGCAGAGAGAUAUGUUGAGUGAGGGGAAGGGAGAUACAACUACGAGCCGAUGCCACCGAGUUUUACU